rnacentral:rRNA from 1 species
CAGCAGCCGCGGUAAUACGGGAAGGGCAAGCGUUAUCCGGCAUGACUGGGCAUAAAGAGUCCGUAGACUGUAGAGUAAGUUUUUUGUUAAAUUUUAAGACCUAAUCUUAAACUUGCAAUUAAUACUGCUUUGCUUUGAGUUUAAUACAGAAAAGUAGAAUUUUAUACGACAGGGGUGAAAUCCGUAUAUAUAUAAAGGAAUGCCAACCGCGAAGGCAACUUUUUGGUAUAAACUGACGUUGAGGGACGAAAGCGUGGGUAGCAAACAGGAUUAGAGACCCUGGUAGUCCACGCCGUAAAUUCUGAGUGCUGUAAUUUAAUUGUAAUAUUUUUUUAUUACUUAGAUUUUCAAGCUAACGCAAUAAGCACUCCGCCUGAGGAGUACGAUCGCAAGAUUGGAACUCAAAGGAAUUGACGGGGUCUAACACUAGUGGUGGAGCAUGUGGUUUAAUGCGAUAAUCCGCGCAAAAUCUUACCAAUUCUUGACAUAUUUAAACAAUUAUGCAAAUUAAUAAUGGUUUUUAUGUAAGAUGUUCUUUUACAGGUGUUGCAUGACUGUCGUCAGCUCGUGUCGUGAGACGUCUGGUU